GCGGCCGUGGCGGAACUGGUAGACGCGCAAGACUAAGGAUCUUGUGGGAGAAAUCCCGUGGAAGUUCGAGUCUUCUCGGCCGCACCA
rnacentral:tRNA from 2 species